GCCUAUUACUUUGAGUGGGGGGGAAACAGGUUGGAACGACUGCUAAUACCGCAUAAUGUCUACGGACCAAAGGGGGCUUCGGCUCUCGCCUUUAGAUUGGCCCAAGUGGGAUUAGCUAGUUGGUGAGGUAAUGGCUCACCAAGGCGACGAUCCCUAGCUGGUUUGAGAGGAUGAUCAGUCACACUGGAACUGAGACACGGUCCAGACUCCUACGGGAGGCAGCAGUGGGGAAUAUUGGACAAUGGGCGAAAGCCUGAUCCAGCCAUGCCGCGUGUGUGAAGAAGGUCUUCGGAUUGUAAAGCACUUUAAGUUGGGAGGAAAGGCAUUAACCUAAUACGUUAGUGUUUUGACGUUACCGACAGAAUAAGCACCGGCUAACUCUGUGCCAGCAGCCGCGGUAAUACAGAGGGUGCAAGCGUUAAUCGGAAUUACUGGGCGUAAAGCGCGCGUAGGUGGUUUGUUAAGUUGAAUGUGAAAUCCCCGGGCUCAACCUGGGAACUGCAUCCAAAACUGGCAAGCUAGAGUAUGGUAGAGGGUAGUGGAAUUUCCUGUGUAGCGGUGAAAUGCGUAGAUAUAGGAAAGGAACACCAGUGGCGAAGGCGACUACCUGGACUGAUACUUGACACUGAGGUGCGAAAGCGUGGGGGAGCAAAACAGGAUUAGAUUACCCCUGGGUAAGU
rnacentral:rRNA from 1 species